UGGGGAAUAUUGCACAAUGGGCGCAAGCCUGAUGCAGCCAUGCCGCGUGUGUGAAGAAGGCCUUCGGGUUGUAAAGCACUUUCAGCGGGGAGGAAGGCGGUGAGGUUAAUAACCUCAUCGAUUGACGUUACCCGCAGAAGAAGCACCGGCUAACUCCGUGCCAGCAGCCGCGGUAAUACGGAGGGUGCAAGCGUUAAUCGGAAUUACUGGGCGUAAAGCGCACGCAGGCGGUCUGUCAAGUCGGAUGUGAAAUCCCCGGGCUCAACCUGGGAACUGCAUUCGAAACUGGCAGGCCAGAGUCUUGUAGAGGGGGGUAGAAUUCCAGGUGUAGCGGUGAAAUGCGUAGAGAUCUGGAGGAAUACCGGUGGCGAAGGCGGCCCCCUGGACAAAGACUGACGCUCAGGUGCGAAAGCGUGGGGAGCAAACAGG
rnacentral:rRNA from 1 species